rnacentral:tRNA from 2 species
GGGUCCAUAGCUCAGUGGUAGAGCAAUUGACUUCAGAUCAAUAGGUCACCGGUUCGAACCCGGUUGGGCCCU